GAUAAAAGCGUCUGCUAAAUGCCAUAUUAUUAUUAUUAUAUCAAACAUGCAAAAAUAAUAAUAAUAAUCAAAGGAUUGUUGUUUUGGGUUUUAUGUUAGCAUCAAUGCUAACUGGCUAGGUAAUGCUAAUCAACUGCCACUUGUGUACAAUAAGGUCAAUAAGACUUCAAUACAGCAAAAAAUAUAUAUAUAUAUAUCUUAAAAUUUAAUUAUUUUAUGAAUAAUAUGAAAUUGUCACUUUGUCUUUCAAACCUUUACACCUUAUUUGAACCAACCCUAUUAAAUGUCAAGGUAUCUGUCAGUGUACCCUGUAUCCUGUCACCUGACUCCUCACACUGACCAAAUGUGAUACCUACCUGUGUCAAGGAGACUCACCUCUUUCUGCCUCCUUGGAAGAUAACUGUAUUUGAAAGCUGAGUUGGAUUUGUACUACGGUAUUAGGCUACUGUAGUUGAGUUGUACUGUAGUUUAAUGUGCGUGCAUUGCCUGAAUAUUGCGGUCCAAUCCACUGCUCUAAACCUGAUAUCUGAAAAAAAGACAUUUUAGAAAUGAAUUGAAAUUAUUCAUUUUAAUGAUAAAAUAUAGAGUGCUUUGAAGUUUCUACUUUAUCCAUAUUUAUAACAUAUUUGUUUUCUCCUGAAAUUCCACAGCACACCAUUGAUUUAACGUGUCUUAUUGUUAAAGAUGUUGAAAGAUAUACAGUACAUUGUAACCACAGGUGUUUUCCGGGUUGUUUUGUUUUUUUGUUCUCUCUCUGAAAUACAACAGAACCUGAUGUCACACCAUUCAUGUGACAUGUCUUACGGUUAUAGGUGUAACACCACAUACCGACAUGUCUUACGGUUAUAGGUGUAACACCACAUACCGACAUGUCUUACGGUUAUAGGUGUAACACCACAUACCGACAUGUCUUACGGUUAUAGGUGUAACACGUGUGGUGUGAUGCUGUAAUAUUGCAGGGUUCAAACCGCUGAUUACAAUACCCACAGCUCUUACAUUCUGAAGCACAACCGUUUCAAAACGCUCUUUGUAAAUAUUGUCUCGUGUUAUUGUACAUUUGAUUUCUUUAGUUGUACCAUACAUUCAUUUUUUUAAUCACUAAUAUGUGCAUUUGAAUUAGGGUGACUGAACGUCUUUCUAUUGGUUUAGUUUUCAUUUGAAUUUAAACUGUCAUUUUGAAUUUUUAUGACUGAAAUGUAUGUUUUGAUUUGUUGUGUACGUAAGGUCAUUAACACAUAUUGUCAUGCAGCACAAUAUACAUUUUGAGAAUUUGUACAUUACAGACUAUUUUAACUGCAAUUAUGUCAAAUAUGAAAUUGCACAGAAUAUCUGAAAUUCCUCUAUCUUUGGUUUCAUGCUGUUGUUUUAUUAAAGGAACUGAUAUUC